AGGCUCAACACCUCUAUUUCUUCUUCUUCUUCUUCAUCGUUUUCCAGAAUUAUAUGAUGACAACAAUGAUGUUCAAGAAGAUGAAACUCAUGGAAGUGGACAAACAUCAAAUAAUACUGUGGAUGUUGUGAACCUUGAAGAAGAUUAAGUGACUUUGUUGGGAGUGACUUUUUGGAUUAAAACUUUUGUUAUGUUAUUACUUAUUCUGGAUAAUUAGUAUUUUGAAUUUAGAAUCUUUAUUCUGGA